AUUGAACGCUGGCGGCAUGCUUUACACAUGCAAGUCGAACGGCAGCGCGGGCUUCGGCCUGGCGGCGAGUGGCGAACGGGUGAGUAAUACAUCGGAACGUGCCCAGUAGUGGGGGAUAGCUCGGCGAAAGCCGGAUUAAUACCGCUUACGACCUGAGGGUGAAAGCGGGGGAUCUUCGGACCUCGCGCUAUUGGAGCGGCCGAUGGCAGAUUAGCUAGUUGGUGGGGUAAAGGCCUACCAAGGCGACGAUCUGUAGCUGGUCUGAGAGGACGACCAGCCACACUGGGACUGAGACACGGCCCAGACUCCUACGGGAGGCAGCAGUGGGGAAUUUUGGACAAUGGGCGAAAGCCUGAUCCAGCAAUGCCGCGUGUGUGAUGAAGGCCUUCGGGUUGUAAAGCACUUUUGGCGGGAACGAAAAGGACUGUGCCAAUACCACGGUUCGAUGACGGUACCCGCAGAAUAAGCACCGGCUAACUACGUG
rnacentral:rRNA from 1 species